UCACGAUGACCAUCCCCUCCCUGGAGGAGCUGGACUCCUUGAAGUACAGCGACCUGCAGAACUUGGCCAAGAGUCUGGGCCUCCAGGCUAACCUGAGGGCAGACAAGUUGCUAAAAGCCUUAAAAGCCCACCUUAAACAAGAAACAAGAAAAGAAAGUAAGAAUCAGGAUGAAAGUCAAACUUCUGCAUCCUCUUGUGAUGAGACUGAGAUACAGAUUAACAAUCAGGAACAUGGUGACAGAGAGCCAGUUGCCCAUGUCACUAAAACAAGGAGAAGUCACAAGACAGUCCAGGGAAACCCUGACUUCCAGGACCAUUCAGAGAUCCAAGUAAGUGAUUCCCCUUAAUUGCAAAAUCAUGAAAAGCAGGAAAACCAACAUCUCAGUGCUACUAUAAAAGUUCCUUCUCCGUCAGACGAGAGCCAAGGAGCUGAGAACAAAGUUUCCUCAGGAAGAAGCGGAAUAAAUGAUAUGCCAAGCAUUGGAGAUUCAAAGGUACCUUCAGGAAGAAAGAAGUCCCUCUACACAAAUGAAUUUUGCAAACCUAGAAAAAUUAAAAUAACUGGAAUCACUACUCCAAACUUUAAGAAGCUUCAUGAGGCUCAUUUUAAGGAAAUGGAGUCCAAGGAUCAAUAUAUUGAGAGAAAAAAACAUUUUGAAGGACACAAUUCAUUUAAUGAGCUGAAGAAGCAGUCUGUCAAUAAGAGCAGUACAGUGACUCCAGUUCCUCUAAGAGGAAGACUUUCUGUGCCUUGUGCUCCCCUCACCCAACAGCACUCACAAGGCGGCUUUCACACCCCUACAAAUGAGAGCAUCUCUGUUCUGAAGGGGUCAGUCAAGCACUCUGCCCUCUCCACAAGUAAAAUGAAUGUCAGGUUUUCGGCUGCUACUAAAGACAAUGAGCAUAAGCGUUCACUGACCAAGACUCCAGCCAGAAAGUCUACACAUAUGACCAUACCUGGGAGUACCCCAAAAGGCGAGACUGUGCUCAGGACACACAAGUUAAAGACCAGCAAGGGGAAUUCUGCUGCUGGUGUUAUUACCCCAUUCAAGUUGACGACUGAGGCAAUGAAGACUUCCGUCUCCAAUAAGAAACCAGUAUUUGAUCUUAAAGCAAGUUUGUCUCGUCCCCUCAACUAUGAGCCACACAAAGGAAAACUAAAACCAUGGGGACAAUCUAAAGAAAACAAUUCUCUGAAUGAACAUGGAAACAGAGUUGACUUCUACAAGAAAACUUACAAACAACCUUGUCUCCACACUAGGGAGGAGCAAUGGAAGAAACAUGAGCAACAAUGAAAGGAGAAGAAAGCAAAGGUUUUGGGAGCACAAAGAGGACUCAUUAUGGCUAAAAAUUAAUAAUUUUUGGAUAUCUUAUAAAUUGUUUCUGAACUUUUCUUUUUGUAAAUGUUUUUAUACUAUCGUCCCACUUUAAUCAAAAGAUCUUUUUUUCCUAUUAACUGUUCAUAACCUCUGUGUCCAUCUUUGUGUGCUACAUCUUUGUGUGCUACAUCUCUGAAAAGACAUCAC